CAGCUCCAAUAGCGUAUAUUAAAAGUUGUUUGCAGUUAAAAAAGCUCGUAGUUGGAUUCUGGUGGGAGGGAACCGUCCGAUCUCAGAUUGGUGCGUGUUCCUCUCCGGCCAUCCUUGAGUCUAACCUCCUUGGCAUUAAGUUGUCGAGGUGGGGAUACUCAUCGUUUUACUGUGAAAAAAAUUAGAGUGUUCAAAGCAGG
rnacentral:rRNA from 1 species